rnacentral:rRNA from 1 species
GAUGAACGCUGGCGGCGUGCCUAACACAUGCAAGUCGAGCGGGAUCUUGCUAAAUGACGCUUCGGUUGAUUUUAGUAAGUGAGAGCGGCGGACGGGUGAGUAACGCGUAGGCAACCUGCCCUUUGCAGAGGGAUAGCCAUUGGAAACGACUGCUAAUACCGCAUAAGCGCACAGAGCUGCAUAUAUUAAUGAGGAAAGUUGAGAAAGCGCAAGAAGAUGGGCUCAUGGCGCAUUAGCUAGUUGGUGGGGUAAUGGCCUACCAAGGCAACGAUGCGUAGCCGACCUGAGAGGGUGAACGGCCACACUGGAACUGAGACACGGUCCAGACUCCUACGGGAGGCAGCAGUAGGGAAUUUUCGGCAAUGGGCGAAAGCCUGACCGAGCAAUGCCGCGUGAAUGAUGAAGGUCUUCGGAUUGUAAAGUCUUUUGCGAGGGAGAAAAAACUGUAGAAGAGCAGUAUAUUGACGGU